GUCUGGUGCCAGCAGCCGCGGUAAUUCCAGCUCCAAUAGCGUAUAUUAAAGUUGUUGCAGUUAAAAAGCUCGUAGUUGAAUUUCGGGGUUAGUCCGUUGGUCGGGCUUCCAUGUACGUACUGGCGUGUAGAAUUCUCUACUUCUGAACGAACCCNUCG
rnacentral:rRNA from 1 species